rnacentral:lncRNA from 1 species
AGUAACCAGCAUUACUGUGUGUUGUGUGUUUGUCAGACUGCAGGCUAUGAAAGCGCUUCAGAGGCUUGAAGCUGAACUAGAGAAUCACGACGCAAAGAACAAUGAGAAGGUUGAAUCUUUGCAAAAAGCACUUGAUGAAGCUCAACUGGACAACAGGAAACUUUCCCAGAGUUUAGAGCAGGCCUUACAGGAAAACCACAAUGCACAAGACAAAUUAAACACCCUCAGCGAGAGGGAGGCGGAGCAUAAAGAGACGAGGGCAGAGAUUCGGCGAUUGACAGAACAUGUAGAUUCACACAAGAGCUUGCUCAAAAGGGAAAAAGACUCUGGGAGAAAGUCAGCACAGCGGGUAAUUUUAAAGAAAUGA